AUGGUGGAGCUUGUUCGCUUGGAUUUUUGGUGGAGGUUGUGGUUUUGGUUGAGGGCUGUUGGUGGGUUUGGAUUUUUGAUUCAUUCGGAUUUUUUGGUGGAGGUUGUGGUUGUGUUGAGGGUUGUUGGUGGUGGAGGUUGUGGUUGUGGAUUUCUAGGUUUGCCGUUGGUGGUGGUGGAGUUGGGUUUCAGUGUAGCUGGGUUUGAAGAGCAGAAAAGAAAAGGGAUGCGACCUUUCUUUGUUUUGACUGGCAUAGGGGCACCUCUCAUUUCAAAGACACCAUUGGUCUUUUGUCCAUACAAUGGAAGUGUGUGUUGUGACUCAGCCAAAGACCUGCAACUGCAGAAGCAAUUUCAUGCAAUGAAUAUCUCUGAUUCUGGCUGUGCUGCUCUUAUGAAAUCAAUACUUUGUGCGAUGUGUGAUCAGUUCUCAGCUCAGCUAUUUAAGGUUGAAUCAGGACCUCGAGAAGUUCCUGUUCUUUGUAGCUCCACUCUAUUGGUAAACUCAUCACAGUCGAACAGGGCAGCAAGUAGUUUUUGCUCUACUGUCUGGGAUGCAUGCCAAAAUGUGUCUAUAUUGAGUUCCCCUUUUGCCUCUUUACUACAAGGUAGUAAUGUGGUACCAGCUGAUUCUGGUUCUUCCAAACUAAACCAACUGGUGCAGUCCAAGAGUGUUUUCUGUGAUGCAUUUGGUGGUUCCUCUUAUGAUGGUUCAAUAUGUUUUGAUGGUGAACAAGUUUCACUAGAAAAGUCUGAAACUUUGGUUCUGCCAAAGGGCUUGUGCCUUGAGAAAAUUGGCAAUGGGUCUUAUCUCAAUAUGGUUGCACAUCCUGAUGGGUCUAAUCACGCAUUCUUCUCUAACCAAGCAGGCAAAAUUUGGUUGGCCACAAUACCUGAGCAAAGUUCAGGAGGUACUCUAGGACUUGAUGUGUCCAGGCCCUUUAUAGAUUUGACUGAUAGAGUCUUUUUUGACAGUAGCUUUGGGAUGAUGGGUAUGGCUUUUCAUCCAAACUUUGCGCAUAAUGGUCGUUUCUUUGCUUCGUUCAAUUGUGAUAAGAUCAGGACACCAGGAUGUUCUGGUAGGUGCGCUUGUAACACAGAUGCGAACUGUGAUCCUUCAAAGCUAAGUUCUUCUAAUGCAGCUCCACCAUGCCGGUAUCAUAUAGUUAUUGCAGAGUUCACUGCUAAUGGGACUAUCAAAACCUUCCUCAGAACAAAGUACUAGCCCAUCAGAAGUGAGAAGGAUUUUUACACUGGGGCUUCCAAUGGCAUUUAAUCAUGGGGGCCAGAUUCUAUUUGGACCUGCAGAUGGAUAUUUAUAUGUUAUGGUGGGAGAUGGUGCAAUCAGAGAUGAUCCUUACGAUUUUUCCCAAAACAAAAAAUCCUUGCUCGGAAAGAUUUUAAGGCUUGACAUUGAUAACUUACCGAGUGCAAAUGAAAUAGGUGACCUCAAUCUAUGGGGAAACUAUUCUGUCCCUCAAGAUAAUCCUUUUUCUGAAGAUAAAGACUUGCAGCCCGAACUCUGGGCUCUAGGAUUAAGAAAUCCCUGGCGCUGUAGCUUUGACUCACAUAGACCUCUCUACUUCAUCUGUGCAGAUACUGGGCAGGAUCAUUAUGAAGAGGUAGAUAUAAUCACCAAGGGUGGGAACUAUGGGUGGCAUGUUUAUGAAGGCCCCUUCCUCUUUAAUCCUCAGCAAUCUCCUGGAGGAAUUACUCCUGCCAAUUCUAUUCAUCCUAUCUUCCCUGUGUUGGGAUAUAACCACUCUAAUAUAAACAAGAAAGAAGGAUCUGCAGCAAUAUCAGGCGGAUACUUUUAUCGUUCCUCAACUGAUCCAUGCAUGUUUGGAAGGUAAGAAAGCACCCAUUUCUAAUUUAUAUGUAAUGUUUUGUAAACACUUGCUAACAAUCUUGACUGUCAUUGUGUAUUCAGUUACCUGUAUGCAGAUUUGUAUGGGAGUGGUAUUUGGGCAGCUGCUGAAAGCCCUGAAAAUAGUGGAAACUUUACUACUACUAGGAUUCCUUUUAGUUGUGCUCAUGAUUCUCCUAACAACUGCAGCACCAUACCAGGAAGUUCCCUACCAACUCUGGGUUACAUAUACUCGUUUGGGGAGGAUAACAGGAAAGACAUUUUUAUUUUAGCUAGCAGUGGCGUGUACAGAGUAGUUCGUCCAAGUCGCUGCAACUACACUUGCUCGAAGGAAAAUGUCACAGCUAUUAGCUUGCCAACUCAUUCAAGUGGAAAAAAGUUGACUAACUUGCAUAGAGUGCUGUGUCUGUCUUUCUUUCUUUCUUCCAUGCUUUAUAUUGUAAUCUGAUAACUAUGUUGUUGCUGAGAAAGUGUCCUAGAGCACGAAACCAUCUUCAGGAUUAUUCUUAGUUUUUGGUUUUGAGAGAAAAGGAGGUGCGGUGGGUGUUAAAGUGGAUGGAGGAAACAGGCUCCUUAGUAUUUUUUGCUCAAUAGUGCCAUGUUCUCGUAUA